UGGGCUUGACAUGUCCGGAGUUCUGCAGAGAUGCGGGAGUGCCCUUCGGGGAAUCGGAACAC
rnacentral:rRNA from 1 species